GAAGCGGAGGAGCAUGUGGUUUAAUUCGAUGAUACGCGAGGAACCUUACCUGGGCUCGAACGUUAAGAUGACUGUAGGUGAAGCUUACAUCUCUUCGGAGCAUUUUACGAGGUGCUGCAUGGUUGUCGUCAGCUCGUGCCGUGAGGUGUCGGGUUAAGUCCCAUAACGAGCGCAACCCCUAUCAUUAGUUGCCAUCAGGUCAAGCUGGGGACUCUAAUGAAACUGCCUACGCAAGUAGUGAGGAAGUGGGGAUGACGUCAAAUCAGCACGGCCCUUACGUCCAGGGCUACACACGUGCUACAAUGGCCGAUACAGAGGGCAGCUACCUGGUGACAGGAUGCAAAUCUCCAAAGUCGGUCUCAGUUCGGAUCGGAGUCUGCAACCCGACUCCGUGAAGUUGGAUUCGCUAGUAAUCGCGCAUCAGCCAUGGCGCGGUGAAUACGUUCCCGGGCCUC
rnacentral:rRNA from 1 species